rnacentral:rRNA from 1 species
GAGCGCCUGCCAGAGGACCCUAGAACCUAAAUGUUAGUGUCGUCUGAGUACUAUAUAAUAGUGAAAACUUUCAACAACGGAUCUCUUGGUUCUGGCAUCGAUGAAGAACGCAGCGAAAUGCGAUAAGUAAUGUGAAUUGCAGAAUUCAGUGAAUCAUCGAAUCUUUGAACGCACAUUGCGCCCCUUGGUAUUCCAGGGGGUAUGCCUGUUCGAGCGUCAUUUCAAACCUCAAGCACUGCUUGGUGUUGGGCGUCUGUCCCGCCUUCGGGCGCGGACUCGCCUCAAAGCGAUUGGCGGCUGGUGCCACGGCCUGGAGUGCAGCAGAAUUGCGCUCCUCGCCCGCGGCCUGGCUCCCAGAAGCGAACCUAUUUCACUUGUUCGACCUCGAAUCAGGUAG